UGAGGAAUAUUGGUCAAUGGGCGAGAGCCUGAACCAGCCAAGUAGCGUGCAGGAUGACGGCCCUAUGGGUUGUAAACUGCUUUUAUGUGGGGAUAAAGUGCGUGACGUGUCAUGCAUUGCAGGUACCACAUGAAUAAGGACCGGCUAAUUCCGUGCCAGCAGCCGCGGUAAUACGGAAGGUCCGGGCGUUAUCCGGAUUUAUUGGGUUUAAAGGGAGCGUAGGCUGCCUAUUAAGCGUGUUGUGAAAUAUACCGGCUCAACCGGUGGCUUGCAGCGCGAACUGGUCGACUUGAGUAUGCAGGAAGUAGGCGGAAUUCAUGGUGUAGCGGUGAAAUGCUUAGAUAUCAUGACGAACUCCGAUUGCGCAGGCAGCUUACUGUAGCAUAACUGACGCUGAUGCUCGAAAGUGCGGGUAUCGAACAGG
rnacentral:rRNA from 1 species